rnacentral:rRNA from 1 species
UUAGAAUUUGAUCAUGGCUCAGAUUGAACGCUGGCGGUAACUUUUAAACAUGCAAGUCGAGCGGUAACAGACAUAAAGAUUCAGCUUGCUGAAUCCGGUGCUGACGAGCGGCGAACGGGUGAGUAACGCGUAGGAAUCUACCCAGUAGCGGGGGAUACCCAGAGGAAACUCUGAUUAAUACCGCAUACGCCCUGAGGGGGAAAGGGGGCAAUUUAUUGCUCUCACUAUUGGAUGAGCCUGCGUAAGAUUAGCUUGUUGGUAGGGUAAAGGCCUACCAAGGCUACGAUCUUUAGCUGGUCUGAGAGGACGAUCAGCCACAUCGGGACUGAGACACGGCCCAGACAUCUACGGAUGGCAGCAGUUAAGAAUAUUGGACAAUGGGGGCAACCCUGAUCCAGGUAUACCGCGUGUGUGAAGAAGUCCUUAGGGUUGUAAAGCACUUUAAUCAGAGAAGAAGCAUUUUAAGUUAAUACCUUAAUUUGUUGACGUUAACUGAAGAAUAAGGACCGGCUAACUCCGUGCCAGCAGCCGCGGUAAUACGGAGGGUCCAAGCGUUAAUCGGAAUUACUGGGCGUAAGGCGCGCGUAGGCGGUUUAGCAAGUUGUAUGUGAAAGCCCUGGGCUCAACCUAGGAACUGCAUCCAAAACUACUAAGCUAGUGUACGAGAGAGGAGAGUAGAAUUUCUGGUGUAGCGGUGAAAUGCGUAGAUAUCAGAAGGAAUACCAAUGGCGAAGGCAGCUCUCUGGCUCGUAACUGACGCUGAGGUGCGAAAGCGUGGGUAGCAAACAGGAUUAGAUACCCUGGUAGUCCACGCCGUAAACGAUGACAACUAGCCGUUGGGCAGAUUUAACUGUUCAGUGGCACAGCUAACGUUUUAAGUUGUCCGCCUGGGGAGUACGGCCGCAAGGCUAAAACUCAAAUGAAUUGACGGGGACCCGCACAAGCGGUGGAGCAUGUGGUUUAAUUCGAUGCAACGCGAAAAACCUUACCUACUCUUGACAUACUUGGAAACUCUUGUAAUGAGAGUGUGCCUUUUGGAACCAAGAUACAGGUGCUGCAUGGCUGUCGUCAGCUCGUGUCGUGAGAUGUUCCGUUAAGUCGGAUAACGAGCGCAACCCUUACCCUUAUUUGCCAGCGAUUCGGUCGGGAACUAUAAGGGGACUGCCGGUGAUAAACCGGAGGAAGGUGAGGACGACGUCAAGUCAUCAUGGCCCUUACGAGUAGGGCUACACACGUGCUACAAUGGGGAAUACAGACGGACGCUAAGCCGCGAGGUGGUGCUAAUCCUAGAAAGUUUCUCGUAGUCCGGAUUGGAGUCUGCAACUCGACUCCAUGAAGUCGGAAUCGCUAGUAAUCGCGAAUCAGCAUGUCGCGGUGAAUACGUUCUCGGGUCUUGUACACACCGCCCGUCACACCAUGGAAGUGGAUUGCACCAGAAGUAGAUAGUCUAACCUUCGGGAGGGCGUUUACCACGGUGUGCUUCAUGACUGGGGUGAAGUCGUAACAAGGUAACC